ACUGGUUGCGGCCAGUAUAAAUAGUCUUUAAGCCGCAAGCGUGUCCUGGAGUUAAUCUUCCAGGGCGGUAGCA
rnacentral:ribozyme from 2 species